rnacentral:lncRNA from 1 species
AGAAAUCGUGAUCAAAACGAAUCAAAAGAAACAACACAACAUAUAAUACAUAAUAUUACAAGUAAAGAAUAAAAAAUCGAAAUAGUACUGAAAACUCACAAAGCUUUGCACGGUGUUGAAUCAUAAAGGGUAAGUGGUUGUUGAGAAAGGAGUUGCAAUGACGGUUUUAUGGAGUGUUUGGGUGGUUUCGUUGAGAGAAGUAUGAAGAGGUUUCGG